UGGGACACAAGAUCACCUGAUCCAGAAGCUCCCAGUUCCCUCAAGUGGCCAAAGCAGGCCCCUGGGCCAGAUGCCAGUUACAGACAUCCCAGGGAAGAAUAGCCAGACCGAGUUCCACCAUGAGAGUCCUACAGGAAGCGGAGAGCUGAUCCUUGGAGCUGCCCUUAUGUGUCAGUCUGGCCCGAAAAGAGCAGGUGGAUCCUGGGAGACGUCACAGCGCAGCGCCAGGGGCAGCUGUGUGCCAGGCACAGUGCAGCCCUCGCCGCACACAGCCACUGACCUGCAGGAGUAGUGACACUCGCCUUUCUUCCUCUCAUCCAGACGGCCCUCACCUUGGUCAGCAUCUGGGACACAGACGAGAUGCUAGGUGUGGAACAGGAGCGUGUUCUGGGACAGGACUGUGAUCUGGAUGAAGUGAGGUGACUCAGGCCAAGCUGUUCAGCAUCUCCAGGUGCGGCUGCCUGACUGUAGCAUGGAGACAGUAACAUGACCUGUUACAGACUGUCGGGGGCAUUACGUGAGCCAAUACUUGAAAAUGCUGAGAAUAACCAGCACAGCAAGCAACUAAAACAGGGUGACCCCUCCACACCGUCCCAAGUGACCUGGCUUUCACCUGUUUCUGGGAGCCCUGAGGUUCUUAUGAGGAGCAGCGCCCGCACAGCAGAGCGGAAGCCUGACAGCCAGCAGCACAGCAGAUGAGAAAUAGGAUCUUUCUGACUGCACAACUCCCCUUGCUCAUGCGCUUCCUGGACACACACAUCAAAGACCGUGUCAGAGAAAGCUGCAGUUUCGACCCUCAAGAUAAUAAACCGUUUCUCAGUUCUGAAGCCACAGCAGCGGAGGAGCCUGCACCACUAGCGACUCUCCCGAGUUGCCCGGACCACGGACCAAGUCUGCGGCUGAGGGUGGGGAGGACCAGAGGGUUCGGGAAGCCCCCACGAUUCCAGACAGUGUGCUGCUGCCGGAAGUAGCAGGUGCUAGGAGCACAUCAGCAUCAACGUGAAGGGACGCGGCACAGACCAAGCAAGACUGCGGACACAGAUAUGGCCACAGCAAGGCUGCCCACACACAGAAGCAAGCUGUGAUAG
rnacentral:lncRNA from 1 species